AAUUUCUGAUGUGGGAUACCUAUCCCUAAUAAAAGACUCAAGGAAAAUGGUACAGUGUUGCAAUCCGUUUCCCGAGAACGCACUGCGGUUAGUUAUGAGGUUCACCGACCCACACCCACUUCUCUGGUUCACCGGGGAGUUGUAUAAGCAAAUUAUUUUUUUGUCUUAUGCCCUUUUCUUCUUACUGCUUCGUAUAUAUUUUCUUUAUUUAUAUUUUGGAAUUUGGACCCUUAACUUCUUAAUGUUUUUCAAAUUUUUACCAUCAUUCAGAAAGGUAAAUUAUAAACCUUGUAAUAGUUGAUUUUGUCCUCCGUAAUUUAGAAAUCUAUAUUAUCAUCUGAGAAGUGAAUUUGCUAACUUGUCAUGCUCUCCAUUAUUUUAGGUUAUUCAUAUUUUAUGCACAAUUAUUUUAAUAGAUAGAAUGAAUCAUCUAUGGUUUAAGAUAAAAUUCUUAAGACAAUCAAAAUUACUCAUUGUGAUAAUUUCUGAAAAAAGUUGGUAAAAAAAUUAAAAAUAUUUAUACUAUUAUUUGUGAAGUGAUUUUUUUUGCUCUCGUUAAAAGUUAGAACAUUUAAAGUCUUUAUUACCCUUAAUAAAUAAUUAGAUUAGUUUUGUUAAUAUAUAGUUACCCAUAAAUUAUAAACGAAUUUCAUUAAUUUGAUAAUCAUCAUUAUCUAAAAAGAUUAUAUAUUAUGUAAGCCAAAAAUAUUUUACAUCCUAAUAUUUUAAAAAUAAAUAUAAAUCCUUUAUAUAGUUUUAUGUAUAUAUAAACGUUUUCAACUUUAUUUUAUGCAAUAAAAGAUAUUUUAUUAAAAUAAAAAAAAUUAUCGUACAUAAAAAUUAAUAUUUAAUUAAUUAUUAAAUAUUUCAAAAACAUGAAAAUAAUUUACUCUAAUGGUUUUUGAAUUGAUAAUAUAUCUACAAGUGUUUGUAAAAUUAUUAAGCCGGCAAGUGCGAGCAAAACAUCUAGUUUCUUCUUUAAAAGAAAAUGGUAGGUUCUAAGACUUUUUUAUGAUUAGUUCUUCUUGUUUGGAUAAUAUGUAUCUGUAAAUGUUAAAAUUUUAAAUGUGUUAAUAACUAUAUAUUAAAUAUAUAUUAUUAAUUUUAAUAAAAAAAUUAAUCCAUUCUGACAUUUUUUAUUAAAAAAAAUUGAUAUACCUUAUCGGCUGAUCUGGCCAGCCCCAAAGGAAACACACAUAGUGAUACAGAGUAGACUGGCUACCACACUACAUGACCCGAGUUUAGAAUGCAUUUCAAUUAAUGCUGCGGGAUGGACCGAUCGUCUGUUACAGUCCACAAUGUUAACCGCUUGGACCGAAACUCAAGUCCGUACUGGCCAAGCCAUGAUAAUAUUUUAGUUUUUUGUAUAUUUUCUAUUUUAUACAAAAACGUUUUUAGAAUUCUUUACAAAAAUAUUUUGGUGUAACAUUAUUUAGUUUAUAUUAGUUUGGGGAAUUGGAUAGCAUAUACAUAAGGAAGACCGAAAUUAAUUGUAUAACCAUAUUAAGGACUUGGCUAUGAUAUUAUGCAUAAUGUUUAAAAAGUGACAAAAAAUACUUUUAUCUCUACGCGUGAAAAAGGUUUGAUGUCUAGUUCUCUUCUUCAAUCAAAAGAUUUCUUUCACUUUGACACAAAUCUUUGAAGAUUGAUGAAGCAUCAGAGAGGGAGAAAAGAGAGAUAGAAAUUGAAGAGAGUGACAGUAGAUGAGAGAGGCUGAGGUUGUUCGAGAAGCUAAUUUAGGGUUCUUGCAGCGACGAGUUUGUGGCGGUGCGAGUAAGGAGCAUAAGUUACCGCGCAACGAUCGGUGAAAGAGGUGUACGACGGCUACAGAAGAAGAUAACCUAACAUCUAUUUCAAAUUUUACCUUUUGCUGUUAUUUUUUAUGUAUCACCAGAAAAAUGAAAGAUUUGCAUGUUUGUGUGAGUAGUUUAUGCAGAGAUUGUAUAUCUAAGUUUCUGGGUUGGAGAUAGUGAUGUAUAUUGUAAGCGAACAAAACUAUACUAUAGUAACGUGUGAGAUAGUAUAGUAGCGACUGAAUUGUGUUGCAUGCUUUUAAAGAUAUGAUUGGACUCCAGCACUGUAAGUAAACAUUAACACUUUGGUUUAUUCAUCUGUAUUGCUAUAAAAUUUCUACUAUUAUGAGUCUAUUACAUUCCUCGCGUAGGUACCAGUACCCAUUGGUACUAUAUUACUUAGCUUGUCUUAGUACUAUGGAAUCUUUUAUUGUAUUCAUUUACAUAUGUUCCGUUUUAUACUAGCUGUGUAUGUGUAUUGUGUAACUCCAUCCCACAAUGUAACUAGGUCAAGACUCGUCUAUGUUGAUGUGUGCAGUGACUACAUACUUUAUAUAUCUUUCAGGCUGCAAUUACUGGGACACGAGAUGAGACUGCAACCACCAUUCAAAAAAACAACCAGGUGGUACUUUUUUGCCAGUUAAUGCCCCUGAUAGGGCGCCUGUGGUAUCGGUCCUGCUAGCGUCUGACCAGCCUAUACGCCCAACCGUAUAGACAUGUCAGCAUCCAAUGCGCCUCGAGUUUUCCCUAGUCAUGGUGUGGCUGAGUCCAGCAUUGUUGCAUCACUGGGGAUCAGAGUUGCUGAUGCAUCUUGUAUCGCAGAAGGCUAGACACGCUCUGUUAUGUCACCGCAUAAGGCCACUAACGUGGAUCCGCCUCCAACAGGCUAGACAAUGUCACCCAUGUGGUACCAAGCGUUUCUUUCCUUACGCGUACGCUCAAUGAUGUUGAUCUUGAUUGUGUCAACUGCGGUUCAAUCCCUUUGUAUUAUUGUGCACCUUUUGUAAGAGGAUACACACAAGUUUCUGCUUUAGUGGCAUACUUCAGUUUUUCAUAUGUUAAUUCCCACACUGUACCAAAUAUGCAGGUUUGCUAUGUAGAAUAUGCAACAAAUAAUUAAGUAGAGAGUGUGUACUUUUGUAGGUGAGAUGUGAUGUUAUGUUGGUAACUAUACUAUGCAUUGUAUACAUAUCAUAGUUUGUUUGUCAUUAGAAUAAUUGUUGGUUAGUGUACAAACGUAUCCACUAUAGUCGCUGUAGAACCUAAAAUCUACACUAAGUAUUUGAUAGUGAUCGGGGUUUGAUCUAGGGAAGACAAAUGAUGUAGGCAACGAUAUAUUUAGAACACAACGAUGUUAAAUAGUUUCCAGUAGGUGAAAAUAGACUUUAUUGAUGAAUAAGAUCGAAUACAAUGAAUUGAACUAGAUCGAGUGAUACAAACGAGAUCGGUAAAGAAAGAAUCUAAAAGCGGGAAGACAACGAGAUCGAUGUAAGUGUGUAGCUCUCUCAAGGGUUUUCAACGUGUCCUCCUCUGUUUCCACUCCUCUUCCUUUAUAGUAAGUCGACUUCGAGAUCUCUGUGGUAGCUCCGCGAUCUCAGCUUCUUGUUGCACGAUCUCCGCGACCUAGGCGACUCCUUCUCGAGCUCGUAUUCUUGCUACGGGCUCCGGCCCUUUAAGGCCCAUGCCUUUGAUCGCGGCCCAUUAUGGUAUUGACCAAAAUUGGGUCCAACAUUUGUCCCCCAGCCUCUUUUGAUUUGAUCGAAAAGGAAAAAUGGCGGUUAUCUAUUGACCUGGGUCUUGUCGUUUGGUAACCGAUAUCACUCGGAUUCGGUUUUAAUGAUCGUUUUCGAAAAAAGUCGUUCUUGGCGCAUUUUUUUUAAUUAUUAUUUUAAUCGGUAACGGCUACUUUAGCCGCCGCUAGGGCAUAGGCUAGGUCAUAAUUGCUUUUCUUGAUAGCGAUGAUAAGGUGGCUUAUAUAUACCUAGAGGAUCUUCUUUUUGCCUCACCUCCGCUUCUUCUUUCUCGUCUCUUUCUCCUUUGCUCUGAAUCUUUCUGUUCUUUGAGCUCAAGAUGUGUUCGUCUUUUAAUUUUCCUCAUCCGACUACUACAGCCGAUGAUCUCGAGAACCUUUAUAAGGUGUAUGGGGUUGAUCGUUCCGUCAUCCUUGACUUGGUCGGUACGCAUGAGAAUCCGAAACCGUGAGAGAAGGCUACUAAGGAGCCUAUCUUUCCUUCUUUCACUCCUGCGGUCUUAUCUUCCCGAUCCCGGAGCCAAUACUCUAGGUCCUGGUGGAGCUUGGGUUUUCGCUUACCCAGCUUCUCCCGAACUUUCUUAGGCAUCUUGUCGCCUUCUUGGUUAAGGCUAGGGAGGAGGGUCUUGCUUUUGGUCUUAGCGAGUUUCGUCAGCUCAUUCUGGUGAAGCAGAAUAAGCAGAACCCUGGUACUUUCCUCGUGUCUCCGCGCCCAGGUCGCCACGUCAUCGAGGACAUCCCUUAUCGUGACGAGAAGUGGCGCGAGCAAUUUUUUGUUUUCAAGAUGGAUCGAGCAUCUAUGGGUAACUUUGACUUCUCCCAGCUUCCCCGGCGUUGGGCCGAGAAUAUCGGUUAGUUUUCUUUUGCCUAUGUGUUGAUGAUUUUUUUUUUUUUUGGGAGUCGAAGACUAAAAAUUUUUUCGUUUGAUUCAGUUCCUUCUGGAAGCUCUUCAAUGUCAGAUGAGAUCUGUGGUCUGAUGAGGGUCCUUCGGAGAGGUCGUUCGAACUGGUCUACUUUUGAUCGAACUCGGAUUCAAACUGUCUUCGCCUUGCCGGUGAGGACCGACAGGGCUCCUUUGGUUGAGGAGUCUAAAGACGAGGCCGAACAUUCCCAGGAGGUCGUAGCGACUCCUUCUGUUCAGACCCAGUCUUCAGAUUGGCUAACUAGACAGCUUGUGAGGAGGUCGUCGUUCCGAACUUCUGGGUCUGCAUCGAGGGGCCGAGCUUCCGGAAAAUCUCCCUUGAUAUCGAUUCAUGAUUCCGACGACGAAGAUGUUUCAGGAGAGAAUCGACAUCCUGUCUCGUUGAGUCCUGGCUCAGAAGACGAGACCGUGGCAGCGACUCGCAAGCGACGUCGGUCAUUGGAGGGUGCCUUGCCUGGUCCGUCUCAUCCUAGGUUUGUUUCUGAGGUAGAUGGUUCUUCGUUUACGGCCCAAAGCGACCUAAUUUCCCUCGCUAGUCGCAUGAGGUCUGUGGGUUGCUCGCUGGUCGCAUGAGGUCUGUGGGUUGCCGUCUCCCAUCUCUUGCUUCCUCAGUCGAGAGGGAAGCCUACGCCAAGGUGGUUGUGGCAAGCUCUAAGGUUCGUUUCUCGCCUUCAUUCUAUUUGAAAAGCUGUUUUGUGGUAUUUGCUUAUUUCGAUUUCUUCUUAGGUGAUGGAAGCUUUUAAUGAAUAUGUCGUGACAAUGGAAGAUCAUGUCGUGGCUUCUCGGAACGACAAGGAAAUCGAGAGCAUUGGUUUUGAGAUCAAGAGGCUUUCGAAGGAGCUCCAAGCCACCAAGCAAGAAGGGAAGAAGGAUGCCAAAAAUAUCGAAGCUUUGACUGAAGACUGGAGGAGAGUUCUUCUAGAGAAAGAGGCUCUCACGUUCCAGAUGGUUUCUCAAAGGGCAAGAAUUACGGCAAUCGAGGUCGAGAGAGAUCGGGACAUUCGCCGCGCUUCUCGUAUUGCUCGUCGCCAUAUCGCGGCUAAGUAUCGGGAAGUUCUUGAAUCUUUGAAGGAUAGGUGGGCGAGCAAGAAGAGGGAAGUAUCUGCUGAGAUCCAGCUACAAGAGGUGACCGCCAACAUCGAUCUCCUGACCGAGCUCAAGGAUGGGGGGCCUGACUGUGGAUGCGGAGCUUGCUCGAUCAAAAGGGAAUGGAAGGAGACUGUGAGGAUUUUGUCGCCUCCACCGCCGUGCCGGAUUAGUCGAUCUCCGAGCUCGAUCUUCCUCAAGUCUCAGAUGAUUCGGUGGAUCAAGUCGGGGGGUCGUCUGUCCCCGAUGAUUCCGUUUCUAGUUAGUUUUUUCUUCUUUUUUUUUUGUUUAAUAUCUUUUUGUUUUUGACGAUCUUUGAUCUUGAUAUCUUGGAUAUCUUUUAAUGGAUAAGCAUAAUAUUUCGGAAUAUCCCUGUUUCCUUAGCUUUCGAAAUUCUUUUUGUUCGGGUUGUUGAGAUAUGGUGAGGUUCCGGUCUUUAUAAAGCUUUGGCUUUGCUCUAGGAUUCGUCAUAGUAUUUCAUUUAGUUUUGUUUUUGCUUGCUGAAGGAACAUGACUUCGAGAAGAUCCAACUCUCGCGAUUUUGAUAGGGUACGAACUCGAACUGGUAGUGCCAAUGCGGAACGUAUUAGAUCCGGAGAUGUGAGUGAUGCGCUCACAGAAGAUCUUCGUGAGGAGACCCGACUUCUGCGGCCUUCAACCAAAGGGGCCAAAUAUCCUGAGGGUGAAAAAUAUGUUGCUUGUGUUAAGUCGAGUAGCCCAACGGGUUCGGAGGGGCGUGAUCGUCCUUCGAAGAAGGCUAAAACGAAUGGUUCGGACCAUCGUCUUAGUGUCCCGGGUGAAGCAGCUGUUGCUAAGCCGUUUCAUUGGCAGUUCUCGCAUUCCAAGGAUUGUCCUAUUACGGAAGAUCCAUAUAGUGUUGCUCAUUUGGUGAGGCACUUCACACCCGCUGGA